AUUCCGCCGCCGCUCCAUCGCCUCCCUGGCGCCACAGCGGCCGCUCCAUCAUCUCUCCUCAGGGCCUUCUCUUCCUAUCUCUCACUUCUCCAGUGAUUCCCACCCCAGCAGCCCGCAACCUCUAUCUAGGCCUCGCAAGAUCUUGUCAACCCCCAACUAGGUUGGGCAGAGGCCUCCAGCCGAGUCGGAGGAGAACACUACCACUGAGGGAUCAAACCCUAGCACCGCAGGCGGCUGUGCGGAGGAUUGAGGUCGACGAUGGUGGUCGCAGCAGGUCAUCAGCUCAGCUCGCCCUCUUCUCUCCCACUGCCCCCAUCACCAUCAUCCUCUCCUUCAUGCGUUCUUGCUCGUCUUUAGGCAUGUGUGCGAAGGCUCGCCAUGGACAAUCAAGACGGCGGAGUGAGGCACAGUUUCACAUUUGCUGUCCUACAACCCUGCUCCUUGUCGUCUGCACUGCGUAAACAAAUGCUUUGAUGAGGAUGCUUAAUUGGUCUGACAACCGUAUAUUGCAAAAUGUACAACCAUAGGAACAUCUAGCAGCAAGUACUUAAGGUUGUAUGUCUCCUAGGUUGAAUCAUUCACUAUGAGUUUUAAGAAUGGUUGAUCAAAUGGAGACGUUCAGCUCUAAGUAAAGCAGACCUUAUGAUGGAGAAGAUAUGUAGGCCAAAUUGCUGGCACGAUAUUGGGCAUAGCUGGUGCAGCAUAGUAGUGAAAUUCCUUCGCUGAGGCAUUUAAAAAAUGGACAUUGUUGCAAUGUUAUGUGCUGGUGGUCCCUGGUCCUUUUACAACCUUGAGAAAGGCUGAGUAAUGAGACAUAAGAAAUUUAUAGCCUCUUUAUUUCUUCUCAGAAGGUUUGUCUAUAGGUUGAUGAAAGUUGCAUUAAACAUGAUGGACAUCGCCCACAAUGACAUUGCAUGUGUGAUGAACUUGCCAUCUCAUAAGUGGGACAAGACCAGAUAGUUUGUUGGCGAGAUCAGCGAUGUGAUUCAGGCAAAUUAAGGGUGCAAUGAACCAUCUGGAAAUGUUCAGUUCUCAAGUGUACUCACAAAUAAGUAGUUACACUGACAUAAGAUUUUGUUUCAGAUUCUGUAUGACAACGACGCAAGGAAGUUCUGAAUACACGUCACAGGUGCCCCUUGGCUGCCUGUGGGUGUUCGUGAUGUGGGAGCAGGGUGAACUCCACACAUAGGUCUACAUUGUGAACCACAACCGAGUUGACAUGGGCCUUAAAAAGGAGCUGAGUGACCUCUGCGACGAGGUGCGGUUGCGCUGGAAGAAUGCCAUCAAGUAUGGCUUAUUUGACAACCACACCAAAUACGGGUAAAGCAGUGAGGAGACUGUCAAUGAGCUCAACACAAGGAGUGGACGAGCUGAAGAAUGAGCCUUGGUUUCCAAGCUUAAGCAGAAGAACGUUGUUAGGCUUCUUGGUGUCUGCUUGGAGUACCAGAAGCGGCUUCUCGUCUACGAGUACACCUCAAACCAGAGGCUUAUUUCAAUAUGGUUGGUGACCUGGAACGUUGGCGUUCUUGGCCUGGUCACGCUGUCAGGCAACAGAGGAAGAGGGGCCUGAGCAAUCAGAAAUGGACAAACAUGUACAACACAUUUUUCAAACUGAACUUGCCAACUUGCAUGUGCUCUUACAUAAGAGCAGAUCGCAGUACUGAUAUCAAUCUCCACGGCGUUACAGAUCAGCCUGAAAGACGAAUCUCUAGGCGUGGACUCAAUCACCAGAAGCUUGUCCGUCAAGUGCAAUAGUGCCAGCGGCGCACGGCUGCUGAAAUGGCACAAUGCUCCUUUUCUACUGAACUUCACAUCUAUUAAAUGUUUUUUGCUCAUGUAUCUCUGCAGACCUACUUCGGCCUGGCGGCAACGCUCCGGUGACCCUGGACAUGGCAGUAUGGGGAAGGGCCAGAUCUUGGUGAACGGCCACAGCGCAGGGAUAUGUGUGAAGAGUUUGCAGGGAAGUGGAAAAGCGAUGUCAGUUCAUCAUAAUACAUUAACUGUUUUUGUAAGUUGUUAAACCUGCAAAUACAAUGCUCAGACGUUGUGAUUGGAGUGCACUUGGCCGGCGAGGAGGUGCUUGUUAGACCAUUAGACAUUCAUGUACAUGCUCGAACCUACUGCCAUGAUUAUCUAUUUUUUAAGAUGGCCGACUAGGAUGUCCACAAUCAUGGCAUGUUGCUAUUUCAUAUUUGCUGAUCUUUUAUAUAUCUUAGAUAUGGUUGUGCUUCGGUGUUAGCUUUUGUAAGUAAUGAACUAUACUCUACUGAAGUUAAAAGAGUCAGUCUAUCAGAAA